CCUACGGGGGGCAGCAGUGGGGAAUAUUGCGCAAUGGGCGAAAGCCUGACGCAGCGACGCCGCGUGAGGGAUGAAGGUCUUCGGAUCGUAAACCUCUGUCAGCAGGGAAGAACGGUCACUGUGCUAAUCAGCAGUGAAUUGACGGUACCUGCAAAGGAAGCACCGGCUAACUCCGUGCCAGCAGCCGCGGUAAUACGGAGGGUGCGAGCGGUAAUCGGAAUUACUGGGCGUAAAGCGCUCGUAGGCGGUAUGUCAAGGCAAGGGGGAAAUCCCCGCGCUCAACGUGGGAACUGCCUUUGAAACUGGCAAACUGGAGUGUGUGAGAGGAUAGUGGAAUUCCAGGUGUAGGAGUGAAAUCCGUAGAUAUCUGGAGGAACAUCAGUGGCGAAGGCGACUAUCUGGCACAUAACUGACGCUGAGGAGCGAAAGCGUGGGUAGCAAACAGGAUUAGAUACCCUAGUAGUC
rnacentral:rRNA from 1 species